rnacentral:rRNA from 1 species
GACGAACCGAGCGAACGUUGUUCGGAAUCACUGGGCUUAAAGGGCGCGUAGGCGGACUAUCAAGUCUGGGGUGAAAUCCCGCGGCUCAACCGUGGAACUGCCUCAGAUACUGACGGUCUCGAGGGAGGUAGGGGCAUGCGGAACUGUAGGUGGAGCGGUGAAAUGCGUUGAUAUCUACAGGAACUCCGGUGGCGAAAGCGGCGUGCUGGACCUCUUCUGACGCUGAGGCGCGAAAGCUAGGGGAGCAAACGGG